GUUGUGCGACUUACCUGACAACUGUGAUUGUACUCUAGCAGUUAUUUAACAGGACCGUCCACCAUGCCAUUCUUUAGAUGAAGAAUCCUACAUUGCAAGAAACAAAUGAUCAGUAGAAAAAUCACAAAAAUGUUGUUGUUUUCAGUUUAAAAUUAAAAUGUACUAAUUUCGAGUGUAUGACUGCAUAUUUUAUUUUUGAAAUAAAUAAUUAUGAAUGC